AUUGAACGCUGGCGGCAGGCCUAACACAUGCAAGUCGAACGGCAGCACAGAAGAGCUUGCUCUUUGGGUGGCGAGUGGCGGACGGGUGAGUAAUGUCUGGGAAACUGCCCGAUGGAGGGGGAUAACUACUGGAAACGGUAGCUAAUACCGCAUAACGUCGCAAGACCAAAGUAGGGGACCUUCGGGCCUCACACCAUCGGAUGUGCCCAGAUGGGAUUAGCUAGUAGGUGGGGUAAUGGCUCACCUAGGCGACGAUCCCUAGCUGGUCUGGCAGGAUGACCAGCCAAACUGGAACUGUGACACGGUCCAGACUCCUACGGGAGGCAGCAGUGGGGAAUAUUGCACAAUGGGCGCAAGCCUGAUGCAGCCAUGCCGCGGGUAUGAAGAAGGCCUUCGGGUUGUAAAGGACUUUCAGCGGGGAGGAAGGCGGUGAGGUUAAUAACCUCGCCGAUUGACGUUACCCGCAGAAGAAGCACCGGCUAACUCCGUGCCAGCCGCCGCGGUAA
rnacentral:rRNA from 1 species